AUUGAACGCUGGCGGCAGGCCUAACACAUGCAAGUCGAGCGCGCGGCGGACGGGUGAGUAAUGUCUGGGAAACUGCCUGAUGGAGGGGGAUAACUACUGGAAACGGUAGCUAAUACCGCAUACCAUCAGAUGUGCCCAGAUGGGAUUAGCGAGUAUGUGGGGUAACGGCUCACCUAGGCGACGAUCCCUAGCUGGUCUGAGCGGAUGACCAGCCACACUGGAACUGAGACACGGUCCAGCCUCCUACGGGAGGCAGCAGUGGGGAAUAUUGCACAAUGGGCGCAAGCCUGAUGCAGCCAGGCCGCGUGUAGGAAGAAGUCCUUCGGGUUGUAAAGUACUUUCAGCGGGGAGGCGUUACCCGCAGAAGAAGCACCGGCGAACUCCGUGCCAGCAGCCGCGGUAAUAC
rnacentral:rRNA from 1 species